rfam:Cuculus canorus isolate BGI_N303 unplaced genomic scaffold scaffold275, whole genome shotgun sequence.
UCUCAGGCUCCUUUUGGAGCCACCAUCACUCCCAUGGAUCUGAAAG